rnacentral:misc_RNA from 1 species
GAACGCACAUUGCGCCCCUUGGUAUUUCGGGGGACAUGCCUGUUCGAGCGUCAUUAUAACCCUCAAGCCUAGCUUGGUGUUGGAGCCUGUCUCUAGACAGCUCUUAAAAUCAGUGGCGGUGCCUUCUGGUUCUAAGCGUAGUAACUUUUCUCUAUAGAGUCCGGAGAUGUCCUGCCAGAACCCCUAAUUUUCUAUGGUUGACCUCGGAUCAGGUAGGGAUACCCGCUGAACUUAAG